rnacentral:rRNA from 1 species
GAUGUACGCUGGCGGCGUGCCUAAUACAUGCAAGUCGAGCGAACAGAUGAGGAGCUUGCUCCUCUGACGUUAGCGGCGGACGGGUGAGUAACACGUGGAUAACCUACCUAUAAGACUGGGAUAACUUCGGGAAACCGGAGCUAAUACCGGAUAAUAUAUUGAACCGCAUGGUUCAAUAGUGAAAGACGGUUUUGCUGUCACUUAUAGAUGGAUCCGCGCCGCAUUAGCUAGUUGGAAAGGUAACGGCUUACCAAGGCAACGAUGCGUAGCCGACCUGAGAGGGUGAUCGGCCACACUGGAACUGAGACACGGUCCAGACUCCUACGGGAGGCAGCAGUAGGGAAUCUUCCGCAAUGGGCGAAAGCCUGACGGAGCAACGCCGCGUGAGUGAUGAAGGUCUUCGGAUCGUAAAACUCUGUUAUUAGGGAAGAACAAAUGUGUAAGUAACUAUGCACGUCUUGACGGUACCUAAUCAGAAAGCCACGGCUAACUACGUG